GGUUCCGUAGCUCAGUUGGAUAGAGCAACAGCCUUCUAAGCUGUGGGUCAAAGGUUCGAAUCCUUUCGGAAUCGCAA
rnacentral:tRNA from 1 species